CAAGGGCUAACUUGUAUCUGAUUUAAAAAAAUGUACAUGUACAGGGAUAGCUUGUGUCCCUACUUUUUAUCCCGGUAAAUAAAAAAUCCCAGGGGAUUUUUAAUAACCCAACUCCAUGUGGAUAAAAUUGCUUGCAUCAGCUGGCAUUUUAUUUUUAAAAAAGAAAAAAAAACUUGUCACUACUGUUGAGUCUGUAUCCACCUUUUUUGACCUUUACAACCUUUUUUGUUAAGCCUCGUUUACAAUUAAAAUGUUAUAUAAAUUAUAUAACAACCUUACAAUAUAAUAAUACUACAAUACUACAAUUAGUAAUAUUUUAGAUAAAAUAAUAGUUAUUUAUCAAUGUGACUAAGUAUUUCUAAAUGAAUUUAGAAACGAAAAACUGCUCUCGAAAUGUUUACGGGGAAAAAAAUCCCGUUUUAUUUUCAUCAAACAACACCAUACAAAUAGUUCUAUGACUACUUCGGAACGUAUUUUCACGGAUUUAAAUCGGAUGCAGUUCGUAAUCGCGCUAAAGGUUAAUAAUUACUAUGAAAUAAGUUUAUAUGCAUUUCAACUUGCAUAGUUUUGUAUAAAUCGAUUUAAAAAUCUAAGAAAAAAAUACCCUCAUCUUGUAUUUAAGUAAAAUCAGUCAGCCAUUUUGUCUAAGCUGAUAUCAUAUCUAGCAGCAAGCGUUAUUCAUCACAGAUUC